CAGGCCCUUAAACACAUAUCACUUGCUUGGUGUUGGAGCUUGGUAUGCCAUUCUCCUAUGAACCUUUCACCCUACUCCUUUUCUCCUUCAAAACUUGAAUUACCUUCAACCAUACCUUGUUUUUCAAGCCUCUAAAGGUAAGAUACUUUGGAAUAACCAUGAAUGACGAAAAUGGAACCACUCCAACAAUGGUGUCACCACCUUCACCUCAUAGCUCAUGUGCGUCCACUGAUCCCAACCAGGAGGACAACAACAACAACAACGAUAAUAACAAAGAUGGUGACAACAACAACAACGACGAUGAUAACAACAAUAAUAACGAUGACAACGACAACAACAACAACGACCCCAACAACAACAACCCUGAAGCUCCUUCCUUGGUUCUAGUAGGGUGCCCUCACUGCCUUAUGUAUCUGAUGAUCUCUGAGGAUAACCUUAAGUGCCCAAAAUGAAAAAGCACUAAUUUGAUUCAUUUUACCUAAACAUAAGAAGGGGACAAAGUACUAGGCUACCUUGUUUCUAAUUCUGCAUUCUAUGUUGCAAGUAAGAAAUGUUAGCAUUUCACCUAGGAAUUUUCUUUUUAGGAUCUUUCUUUAAUAUUACCCUUUUUAUCUUUUUUAAACCAUUUUUAUGAGUAGUGAUAAAUGUGCUCCACUUUUUACCUUGAAUUUCAUUAGUUACGAUGGAAAUCCCAAAGGAGUCGAGUGUAAAUAGCACUACUCCUAUCAGAUAAAUGGUUUCUUGAACUAGGUUGGUCAUCUUAAAUUAAUAUUAUGUUAGUCGGUUUCCUUGAUUGGUGGGGAUCAUGAAAAAAUAUUGUAGGCUUGAUUACAAAA